rnacentral:rRNA from 1 species
UUAAGGGCGCACGGUGGAUGCCUUGGCACUAGAAGCCGAUGAAGGACGUUACUAACGACGAUAUGCUUUGGGGAGCUGUAAGUAAGCUUUGAUCCAGAGAUUUCCGAAUGGGGAAACCCAGCAUGAGUUAUGUCAUGUUAUCGAUAUGUGAAUACAUAGCAUAUCAGAAGGCACACCCGGAGAACUGAAACAUCUUAGUACCCGGAGGAAGAGAAAGAAAAUUCGAUUCCCUUAGUAGCGGCGAGCGAAACGGGAAGAGCCCAAACCAACAAGCUUGCUUGUUGGGGUUGUAGGACACUCUAUACGGAGUUACAAAGGACGACAUUAGACGAAUCAUCUGGAAAGAUGAAUCAAAGAAGGUAAUAAUCCUGUAGUCGAAAAUGUUGUCUCUCUUGAGUGGAUCCUGAGUACGACGGAGCACGUGAAAUUCCGUCGGAAUCUGGGAGGACCAUCUCCUAAGGCUAAAUACUCUCUAGUGACCGAUAGUGAACCAGUACCGUGAGGGAAAGGUGAAAAGCACCCCGGAAGGGGAGUGAAAUAGAACCUGAAACCGUGUGCUUACAAGUAGUCAGAGCCCGUUAAUGGGUGAUGGCGUGCCUUUUGUAGAAUGAACCGGCGAGUUACGAUUUGAUGCAAGGUUAAGCAGUAAAUGUGGAGCCGUAGCGAAAGCGAGUCUGAAUAGGGCGUUUAGUAUUUGGUCGUAGACCCGAAACCAGGUGAUCUACCCUUGGUCAGGUUGAAGUUCAGGUAACACUGAAUGGAGGACCGAACCGACUUACGUUGAAAAGUGAGCGGAUGAACUGAGGGUAGCGGAGAAAUUCCAAUCGAACCUGGAGAUAGCUGGUUCUCUCCGAAAUAGCUUUAGGGCUAGCCUCAAGUGAUGAUUAUUGGAGGUAGAGCACUGUUUGGACGAGGGGCCCCUCUCGGGUUACCGAAUUCAGACAAACUCCGAAUGCCAAUUAAUUUAACUUGGGAGUCAGAACAUGGGUGAUAAGGUCCGUGUUCGAAAGGGAAACAGCCCAGACCACCAGCUAAGGUCCCAAAAUAUAUGUUAAGUGGAAAAGGAUGUGGCGUUGCCCAGACAACUAGGAUGUUGGCUUAGAAGCAGCCAUCAUUUAAAGAGUGCGUAAUAGCUCACUAGUCGAGUGACACUGCGCCGAAAAUGUACCGGGGCUAAACAUAUUACCGAAGCUGUGGAUUGUCCUUUGGACAAUGGUAGGAGAGCGUUCUAAGGGCGUUGAAGCAUGAUCGUAAGGACAUGUGGAGCGCUUAGAAGUGAGAAUGCCGGUGUGAGUAGCGAAAGACGGGUGAGAAUCCCGUCCACCGAUUGACUAAGGUUUCCAGAGGAAGGCUCGUCCGCUCUGGGUUAGUCGGGUCCUAAGCUGAGGCCGACAGGCGUAGGCGAUGGAUAACAGGUUGAUAUUCCUGUACCACCUAUAAUCGUUUUAAUCGAUGGGGGGACGCAGUAGGAUAGGCGAAGCGUGCGAUUGGAUUGCACGUCUAAGCAGUAAGGCUGAGUAUUAGGCAAAUCCGGUACUCGUUAAGGCUGAGCUGUGAUGGGGAGAAGACAUUGUGUCUUCGAGUCGUUGAUUUCACACUGCCGAGAAAAGCCUCUAGAUAGAAAAUAGGUGCCCGUACCGCAAACCGACACAGGUAGUCAAGAUGAGAAUUCUAAGGUGAGCGAGCGAACUCUCGUUAAGGAACUCGGCAAAAUGACCCCGUAACUUCGGGAGAAGGGGUGCUCUUUAGGGUUAACGCCCAGAAGAGCCGCAGUGAAUAGGCCCAAGCGACUGUUUAUCAAAAACACAGGUCUCUGCUAAACCGUAAGGUGAUGUAUAGGGGCUGACGCCUGCCCGGUGCUGGAAGGUUAAGAGGAGUGGUUAGCUUCUGCGAAGCUACGAAUCGAAGCCCCAGUAAACGGCGGCCGUAACUAUAACGGUCCUAAGGUAGCGAAAUUCCUUGUCGGGUAAGUUCCGACCCGCACGAAAGGCGUAACGAUUUGGGCACUGUCUCAACGAGAGACUCGGUGAAAUCAUAGUACCUGUGAAGAUGCAGGUUACCCGCGACAGGACGGAAAGACCCCGUGGAGCUUUACUGUAGCCUGAUAUUGAAAUUCGGCACAGCUUGUACAGGAUAGGUAGGAGCCUUUGAAACGUGAGCGCUAGCUUACGUGGAGGCGCUGGUGGGAUACUACCCUAGCUGUGUUGGCUUUCUAACCCGCACCACUUAUCGUGGUGGGAGACAGUGUCAGGCGGGCAGUUUGACUGGGGCGGUCGCCUCCUAAAAGGUAACGGAGGCGCUCAAAGGUUCCCUCAGAAUGGUUGGAAAUCAUUCAUAGAGUGUAAAGGCAUAAGGGAGCUUGACUGCGAGACCUACAAGUCGAGCAGGGUCGAAAGACGGACUUAGUGAUCCGGUGGUUCCGCAUGGAAGGGCCAUCGCUCAACGGAUAAAAGCUACCCCGGGGAUAACAGGCUUAUCUCCCCCAAGAGUUCACAUCGACGGGGAGGUUUGGCACCUCGAUGUCGGCUCAUCGCAUCCUGGGGCUGUAGUCGGUCCCAAGGGUUGGGCUGUUCGCCCAUUAAAGCGGUACGCGAGCUGGGUUCAGAACGUCGUGAGACAGUUCGGUCCCUAUCCGUCGUGGGCGUAGGAAAUUUGAGAGGAGCUGUCCUUAGUACGAGAGGACCGGGAUGGACAUACCUCUGGUGUACCAGUUGUCGUGCCAACGGCAUAGCUGGGUAGCUAUGUGUGGACGGGAUAAGUGCUGAAAGCAUCUAAGCAUGAAGCCCCCCUCAAGAUGAGAUUUCCCAACUUCGGUUAUAAGAUCCCUCAAAGAUGAUGAGGUUAAUAGGUUCGAGGUGGAAGCAUGGUGACAUGUGGAGCUGACGAAUACUAAUCGAUCGAAGACUUAAUCAA